CGCGGGUAAGGCGAUGAGGCUCGCCUGAACCGCCGUUUGGCUGAUGGCCUCUACCACGGA
rnacentral:ncRNA from 2 species